GAUGAAGAACGUAGCGAAAUGCGAUAAGUAAUGUGAAUUGCAGAAUUCAGUGAAUCAUCGAAUCUUUGAACGCACAUUGCGCCCCCUGGUAUUCCGGGGGGCAUGCCUCUCCGAGCGUCAUUACAACCCUCAAGCUCAGCUUGGUGUUGGGCCCCGCCGCCCCGGCGGGCCCUAAAGUCAGUGGCGGUGCCGUCCGGCUCCGAGCGUAGUAAUUCUUCUCGCUCUGGAGGUCCGGUCGUGUGCUCGCCAGCAACCCCCAAUUUUUUUCAGGUUGACCUCGGAUCAGGUAGGGAUACCCGCUGAACUUAAGCAUAUCAAUAAGCGGAGGA
rnacentral:misc_RNA from 1 species